rnacentral:lncRNA from 1 species
AUGGAUGGUAGCCUUGUCAUUAAAGAAAGAUCACCGGCGCCGUUGAUUCUCAUAACCGGAAUUCCCCAUUUUCAGAAAAUGGCUUUAGGUGGAGGAGGUCCCCAAAGAGGAAGUGCAGCUGCUACUGCAAGCAUGAGGAGAAGGAAAACAGCAGGUGGUGGAGCCUCUGGAGGAGCAGCUGGAACUAUGCUUCAAUUUUACACCGAUGAUGCUCCUGGACUCAGAAUCUCUCCUAGAUCAGUAAAAAUAUCCUCCCCACACGUGGACCAAAACUUUUGA